GACGAACGCUGGCGGCGUGCUUAACACAUGCAAGUCGAACGAAGUGGCGAACGGGUGAGUAAUACGUGAGUAACCUGCCCUCCUUUUUGGGAUAAGCCUUGGAAACGGGGUCUAAUACCGAAUAAAGGGGGAUGGGCUCGCGGCCUAUCAGCUUGUUGGUGGGGUGAUGGCCUACCAAGGCGGUGACGGGUAGCCGGCCUGCGAGGGUGACCAGCGACAUUGGGACUGAGAUACGGCCCAGACGCCUACGGGAGGCAGCAGUGGGGGAUAUUGGACAAUGGGCGAAAGCAUGAUGCAGCGACACGGCGUGGGGGAUGAAGGCUUUCGGGUUGUAGACCUCUUUCGCUAUCGGAGGGGUAGGUGGAGAAGAAGCGCCGGCUAACUACGUGCCAGCAGCCGCGGUAAUAC
rnacentral:rRNA from 1 species